rnacentral:rRNA from 1 species
UACAGAGGUCUCAAGCGUUGUUCGGAUUCAUUGGGCGUAAAGGGUGCGUAGGCGGCGCGGUAAGUCGAGUGUGAAAUCUCGGAGCUUAACUCCGAAACUGCAUUCGAUACUGCCGUGCUUGAGGACUGGAGAGGAGACUGGAAUUUACGGUGUAGCGGUGAAAUGCGUAGAUAUCGUAAGGAAGACCAGUGGCGAAGGCGGGUCUCUGGACAGUUCCUGACGCUGAGGCACGAAGGUCAGGGGAGCAAACGGG